UACGGGGGGGGCAAGCGUUGUUCGGAAUUACUGGGCGUAAAGGGCUCGUAGGCGGCCAACUAAGUCAGACGUGAAAUCCCCAGGCUCAACCUGGGAACUGCGUCUGAUACUGGAUGGCUUGAAUUCGGGAGAGGGAUGCAGAAUUCCAGGUGUAGCGGUGAAAUGCGUAGAUAUCUGGAGGAAUACCGGUGGCGAAGGCGGCAUCCUGGACCGACAUUGACGCUGAUGAGCGAAAGCUAAGGGAGCAAACGGG
rnacentral:rRNA from 1 species